rnacentral:rRNA from 1 species
GACGAACGCUGGCGGCGUGCCUAAUACAUGCAAGUCGAACGAGUGGCGGACGGGUGAGUAACACGUGGGAACCUACCCAUCAGAGGGGGAUAACACUUGGAAACGGUAGCUAAUACCGCAUACCAUCAGCUGUGCCCCGAUGGGAUUAGCUAGUAGGUGGGGUAACGGCUCACCUAGGCGACGAUCCCUAGCUGGUCUGAGAGGAUGACCAGACACACUGGAACUGAGACACGGUCAAGACUCCUACGGGAGGAAGCAGUGGGGAAGAGUGCACAAUGGGCGCAAGCCUGAUGCAGCCAUGCCGCGUGUGGGAAGAAGGCCUUCGGGUUGUAAAGCACUUUCAGCGGGGAGGCGUUACCAACAGAAUAAGCACCGGCUAACUUCGUGCCAGCAGCCGCGGUAAUUC